ACCUACGGGGCGCAGCAGUGAGGAAUAUUGGUCAAUGGUCGGGAGACUGAACCAGCCAAGCCGCGUGAGGGAGGAAGGUACAGAGUAUCGUAAACCUCUUUUGUCAGGGAACAAAGGCGGGGACGUGUCCCUGGAUGAGUGUACCUGAAGAAAAAGCAUCGGCUAACUCCGUGCCAGCAGCCGCGGUAAUACGGAGGAUGCGAGCGUUAUCCGGAUUUAUUGGGUUUAAAGGGUGCGCAGGCGGUCUGUUAAGUCAGCGGUCAAAGCCCGGGGCUCAACCCCGGCCCGCCGUUGAAACUGGCAGG
rnacentral:rRNA from 1 species